AUACGGAGGGUGCAAGCGUUAUUCGGAAUCACUGGGCGUAAAGGACGCGUAGGCGGGUUGGCAAGUCAGAUGUGAAAUCCUACAGCUUAACUGUAGAACUGCAUUUGAAACUGCUAACCUAGAGUAUGGGAGGGGGAGAUGGAAUUAGUGGUGUAGGGGUAAAAUCCGUAGAUAUCACUAGGAAUACCGAAAGCGAAGGCGAUCUCCUGGAACAUAGCUGACGCUAAGGCGUGAAAGCGUGGGGAGCAAACAGGAUUAGAAACCCUAGUAGUCC
rnacentral:rRNA from 1 species